rnacentral:sRNA from 1 species
UCGUUUGUCCUGGGCUUCGGAAAUGCUUC